GACGAUCGCUGGCGGCGCGCUUAACCAAUGAAAGUCGAACGGAUAAGCCCUGGAAUUGGGGGGUGUUUGAGUGGAAAACGGGUGAGUACCACGUGAAUAACCUGCCCUUGACUUUGGUAUACCUACAGGUAACUGGGGCUAAUACCGGCUAGGAGCUCCUGCUGCAUGGUGGGGGUUGGCACGUUUCGGCGGUUGGGGAUGGACUCGCGGCUUAUCCGCUUGUUGGUGGGGUAGUGGCUUACCAAAGCUUUGGCGGGUAGCCGGUCUGAGAGGGUGACCGGCCAGAUGGGGACUGAGGUACGGCUCAGUCCCCACCUGGAGGCAGCAUUGGGGAAUGGUGGACGAUGGGAUGAACCCUGAUCCAGUAACGCCGCGUGCGGGGUGACGGCCUGCGGGUGGUAUACCGCUUUCCCCUGUGACGAAGCGUGAGUGACGUUAAUGGGUAAGUAAGCACCGGCUAACUACGUG
rnacentral:rRNA from 1 species